UACGGAGGGUGCAAGCGUUGUCCGGAAUCACUGGGCGUAAAGGGCGCGUAGGCGGCUCAUGAAGGCUGUGGUGAAAGUCCGGGGCUCAACCUCGGAUCGGCCGUGGCGACUCGUGGGCUGGAGCACUGUAGAGGCGGGUGGAAUUCCGGGUGUAGCGGUGGAAUGCGUAGAGAUCCGGAAGAACACCAGUGGCGAAGGCGGCCCGCUGGGCAGUGGCUGACGCUGAGGCGCGACAGCGUGGGGAGAAAACAGG
rnacentral:rRNA from 1 species